UACGUAGGUGACCAGCGUUGUCCGGAUUUACUGGGCGUAAAGAGCGCGCAGGCGGUCGUUCAAGUCGAGUGUGAAAGCCCCCGGCUCAACUGGGGAGGGUCAUUCGAUACUGAUCGACUUGAAGGCAGGAGAGGGAAGUGGAAUUCCCGGUGUAGUGGUGAAAUGCGUAGAUAUCGGGAGGAACACCAGUGGCGAAGGCGACUCUUUGGUCUGUAACUGACGCUGAGGCGCGAAAGCGUGGGGAGCAAACAGG
rnacentral:rRNA from 1 species